CAUAUAGGUAGGGCUGCAUCCUAAUGACAGCGCCGCAGAUGAUGCAGUGAUACAGACAGGACCUCGACUAGGUCAGACAAGUGAGGCACUUGCCUCUGGUAAAAAACAGAAGGGGCACCAAGAGGCUUGGCAAACAAGCAGAGAAAUUUGGACAUAGCCACCCUUCUGUACGCAGUGAGAACACAGGCAAAGACGUCUAGAUGAAGGCAAAGACUGGGGUGAUGCUUCUAUAUGCCAAGGAGCACACCGAAGAUGGGCAGCAAAGCGCCAGCAGCUGGGAGGGGCCUGGAGCAGACUCUCCCUCAGCCCUCGGAAGGAACCAGCCUUGGACUUCCACUUCCCAAAUGGAGACAGUACAUUUCUUUUGUUUAAGCCCCCUGGUUUGUGGUAAUUCAUUAAGGCAGCUCUAGCAAACUAAUACACAGGCCAUGCAAAGACAGACAUCCCUGGGGCAUGAAGAGUGGGAAGAGUCCCUGAGGAGAGUAAGGGGUCAGCCUGUUUGGGGAACCGGAAGAGGGUAAAUGUGUCCACAGCACAAAGAGCGAGGUCACGAGGUAAACAGGAGCCAGUCCAUCUAGGAGGACACUCUGGAGUAAUGCAUUUCAUUCCAAGUACAAGGAGACCUUGCUAAUUUCAUGUGACCCCUUGACUUCACAGAAAUAUCGCUGAACCCAAGACGUUUGUCACUGAAUCCAAGACAUUUUUCACUGAGCCCAAGACAUUUCCAAUUCCACUGAGCUUGCUGUGUUUGUGAGUGAGCCUAGGGGUGGAGUGGGGCCUAAAAAGCAGAAAAGGCUGUCAAGAUUUAAUGAACCCCACCUAAGUCCCCAGUGGAUAUUUCUGGAUGUCCUGGGUUUUUGUUUUGUAAGGUCUGUCUCUGCCAAUUAGUAGCUUAAUAACCACUAUGAAUGACCAGGAUAUUCAGCCACCAAUAUCAUCUAAGUGGGGUGGGGAACCAGGAAGCAGAGAAGACUGACAUUGUGAACCCCUCUGAUAGAAAGUGGGUAUGAGGACAAAAUAAGUACUAGAACUCGGAGAGACUGGACCUCUUUCUCCUUGUAAAUCAAGCUGAACAGGGAAAGAGGAGCUGGCAGGAGAGUUUGUCCUGCUGGUGUCAGCCCCCACAGAAGUCCCCAAGCUUCCUGGACGCCUCCAUGUGUGCUGUUGCCUGCUUGGACCCCAUCCUCAACAGCAGCUCUAAGGGCUUGUCUGGAGGCCCUGGAUGGAAGGUGCUUCCCAGCCUGAGCACCUGCAGAAGUGGCAGCUGUAUUCUUUAGGUACAUGAACAGCCUAGUUUUCAAGCCUGUGUACAAAGGUGUCUUCUUCCUCUGGGCAAACCACUCCCAGGGGCAAGAGCCACAAGGGUCAACUUAGCAAUCUUUGUCAGUGGCAAGGAGGUGACACUAAUCUCAACCACAGUCUUCUUAGCCAACUUAAGCUUAUUUUCUUCCCUUGUCUUUUCUUAGAACUGCAUCACUUCUUGCACAGGUUCUUUUUUAUCAUUUAUAAAAUGAUGAAGGCCUGGAAACGAGCCAAGAGUGACUACUUGUUCCUGAGCUAAUCUCUGUUUCCCCAGGGAUACUGCUGGAAGUUGGACAGUGAGUGGUCAGAAUUCAGAAGUUCCAGGUCAGAGGUUGGCCUCAGCCAUCCCCUGGGGUGAUGGAACCACAGGAAGGAUCCUCUGAUUCAGUCCCCAAAGUGGGCUCUGUGGAGCAGCAUCCCAGAUGGUAGGAAAUGGAUCUGCAAUUACUCCUCAAGGCUCAGGGAGGGGUUUUAACAAGAACACUGCACAUCUUCAGAGCAGGUGGUCUUGUCUGUCUCUAUAAUCAAACAAAAAAAUUUUUUUUUCCCACCCACUCUUCUAUAACAGACUGCUGCCUGGGAUCCUAAGAACUGUUGUCUUUUUGAUCUCCCUCUUCGCAGCAUGGACAGUGGGUCCCCUCGAUCUGCACACCCUGCUCUGCCUCUCUCUGCAUGCUUAGGGUUCAGGGAGGUUACACCCUUGGGGACACUGGCGGCUGCUGGAUAUGUGCACAGGGGGCAUGGAGAGCGGUCUUCUCUUCUGAUCUCCACGCAGGGGACCUAGUGAGACUUGCUGUAGGACCUCUGGUGAAAUUAUCUUGACUAUUGACUAGCAAAGAGAUGAGAAAGGAGAGGCACUAUAGAUUUCCUUUAAGAAAUAAAUAUCAUCUCCUCUUUUUCUCUUUUCUCCAGUAAAAAGUGCCCAAAUUUGGAAGUAUCAUGUGUAAUUUAUUGUCCCACUUUAAAUGUUUCUUGUAACUAUGAAUUAUUGUGCUUGGAUCGGAUUCCAUUAUAAUAAACUCCCACUUGGACUCCAAAUUCUUUUACAACAGUGGAAUUUUGCUUGAACUAAUGCAUUGUUAUAAAUCACAUUUUCUGACCCCAGCCUGGAGUUUAUGCUUGGUUUUCAACUCCACAACUAACCAAAAAUGGGAUCUCAAGCUAGUCGUCUCAACUCUUUUACCCUCAGUUUCCUUUACUGUGCAUUAGGAACAUUAGAUAUGGCCGCCCUCCUUCCUCAUAGCUUUGUUGGGAACCAAUACGAUUAUUCUGUAAAAGUGUACUGGAAACCAAAAAACCUCAUCAAAAUGUUAGCUUCUUGUUUGUUGAUAGAACAUCAAUUACAUUUGAGGAAGGUAUUUUGUGCUCCUUGCUUAUCUGGUGGUGAUUUAAAAAUCCUGUCUGCUGUGGAUAAUUCAUAUUCCUCUUUGCUUUCUAGCUUUGAAUAUGCCUGCAACACUCCUGUAACCUUGCAUUUCCUUACCUAUCCAACAGGGAAACCAGUACUGGCCUGCCUGCCUUCGACUUUUGGAUCAUUUUGCUUUUACUUUACCUCAGGACAUGUAGGACUUAGAUAAUGUUGGUGGACAUCUGAUUUAUUGAUGCUUGGCAAAGAGGGGGACUCAAGCAAUACAUGCAGUGCCAAGCGAGAUGUUGAGGGAAGGCUUUUUUAGAGAGCUUCCCUGUGCACAGCUGUGAUCCAGGUGCAUUAGAAGAUGCUGAGAGCUCACAGGAAGGGAAGAUGAGAUUGCUAAGGCUGAACUGGAGGCUAAGAGUCUAUCAGUAGACUCCUUCCCCUUUCUUUCAUGAUACUAUCCUGCUGGGGUUGAAUGUACGUAUUCCUCCAAAAUUCGUAUGUUGAAACCUAAUCACCAAGGUGAUUAGGAGGCGGGGCCUCUUGGAGGUGGUUCAGUCACUAGAGGCCCAUCUUUGUGAGUGGAAUUAGUGCCCUUAUAAAAGCGCUGUAGGAAACAGGUCUUUUUAUCCUUCCACCUUCCACUAUCUUGGAAGCAAAGAGCAGCUUUCACCAGACACUGAAUCUUCCAGCACCUUUAUCUUGGACUUCCUAGCCUCCCAACCUAUAAGGAAAUAUCAGGUCUUAGAUGUUUUGUUAUAGAAGCAGAACCGGACUGAGACAUAUCUCAACACUUAUCGUGGAAUAUGUUGUUUGGUGGUGGGAAGGCUGAGAGAAGCAUUAGAAAUGAAAUGGAAGAGAAAAUUUAACAUAUAGUCUAAGUAAAAUAUACUUUUGGCAUGGGUUGGAGACACUCAGAACCUACUCCUACAACACCAGCGCAUCAGUCAGUGUCAUGAAUCUUUAUCUUAAAUGUUUCAUCCUCAUACACUGCUAGUGGGAGGGCGGGCUUGUGGAGCCACUCUGGAGAGUAGGUAUGCAUGACUUCAUUGCAUUAAGUCCACAAAUAUCCUCUGACCCAGCCAUUUCAGGGCUGGGGAGACACUGGAAAGGGGACAUGUGAAAACAUGCUCACAACAGAGCUUUUUGUGGUGAUGAGGAGUUAAAUGCAAUAUGGGCAUCUGUUUCUGGGAGAAGACAGGAAUAAAAUGUGGCGGGUGUAGAUCAUAGGAGCACCUGUAGCAGCUGGCAGCUAUCGAUUCCAUGUAAGCAUAACCACAUAGAUGAACCUUAAAAACAUGGCUAGUGGCAGCUAUCGAUUCCCUGUAAGCAUAACCACACAGAUGAACCUUAAAAACGUGGCUAGUGGCAGCUAUCGAUUCCAUGUAAGCAUAACCACACAGAUGAACCUUAAAAACAUGGCUAGUGGCAAAAAAGUAAGAAAUAGAGUGAGAUCUAUAACACAACACUUACACUAAUUAAAAAUGCAUGCAUACAAAACAAUAUUUAUUUACAUCAAUACAUAUAAAUAAGCAUAUGCACAUUGAACAAUUAGAAUGAUAGACUGUGUUUGGUGGGGAGGUGGGGAGAUGGAUAUGUGAAUAAAAAAUGAAUAUAUACAUUAAAACAAGAGAGGGACCUUGCACGGAAAAAUAUAAGAAAUAUGAUUUACUCAAUCCUUUACGUAUGAAGUUGAAAGUAAAUUAAUUAAAAAUAUCAACUCUUAACCCAGGCUCACACCUGUAAUUUGGUGAGUUAGUCUGGGCUCUUUGCAGUCUGAAUAUAUUUCAAUGACCCAGUGAGUUCUAUACUAAAUGAAGGGAGUGUUUGGUUGAAUUAAGUUUCUAAAAAAGAAAAGAACAACCUGUUCUGCACUGAUCCCUCCACUGGGUCUUACAUAAAGCUCUGUUGGUUCCCACAGCUGCUCUGCAAUUCCUAUAUUUUUCUCUUGGUUGCUCCAGCUCAGAUCCCUCAUGGCCUCCUCCCUUGAACUUCACUCUCUUGGAUUCUCUGAUCUCAGUUCAUCUUCUCUCUUACUCUCAUCACGUGAGCUCACCAACAACUUACUGGGGAUCAGCAUCAUCUGUCCCAGUUAGGAUUAUCGAUUGCAAAUGACAAGAAAGUAGCCUUGUUGCUUUUAGCAAAAUAAAGAGUUUUUACAGACGUGGAAGUCAAUAGAAUCCACAAGAGAUGGAAGGAGCAAGCUUGGGAAAUAAGAAUCUGAAGGGGGCCUGGAGGCUGGGCUGCAGGAGGAAUCUGACCUGAUGCUCUCAUAGCCGUUGCCUCUGACUCUACAGCAGGACACUGGUGCUGGACAGCUGACUGGCAGUAAGUAAAUUUGGCCUCCAAAGUGUCCUCUGAGUGUCUUCAUCUUCCUGUUCUUGUACCCUGAGUACUCCCUGUCUGCAUUUGAUGGAAUUUUCCUAUGUAUCUAGUGGGACAUUGUGUGAGUCAAGACUAGGUUAUAAAAGACACUGAUUUCUGCCCUUCACUUUCUCAGAUCAUUUGAUCUCAGGAAAACUAGCUGCUGUGUCAUAAGAUCACUCAAGAAACCCUGCAGAGAGGUCUUUCUGGAGAGAAACUGAGGCUUUCUCCAACAGCCAGUGACGAACUGUGGCCUUUUGUUCGUGAUCAUGAUAGUGAACCAGCUUGGAGGUUCAUUCUCAGCCCCAGUCAAGACUUCAGAUGACUGCAGGUCCAGCUGACAUCUUGACUGCCACCCACGAGAGACCUCAAGUCAGAACCACCCUGCUAAGCUUCUCGCAAAUUCCCAAC